UGUGGUUCUCGGGUGAUGCACCUGGAACCAGAGAGGAGGGAGCCCGAUUCCAGGGUGCAUCACCCGAGAACCGCC
rfam:Myotis lucifugus cont2.23574, whole genome shotgun sequence.